UGGUUUCUCUUCAGAUCAUAUAAAUCUUUCGCCUUUUACUGAAGAUUUCCAUGGAGAGGAACAGUUAC